rnacentral:rRNA from 1 species
CCCCUAGUANCUGCGAGUGAGCGGGAAAAGCUCAAAUUUAAAAUCUGGUGGUCUUUGGCCAUCCGAGUUGUAAUUUAGAGAAGCGUUUUCCGCGCUGGACCGUGCACAAGUCUCCUGGAAUGGAGCGUCAUAGAGGGUGAGAAUCCCGUCUUUGGCAUGGACGCACCAGGGCUUCUGUGAUGCGCUCUCGAAGAGUCGAGUUGUUUGGGAAUGCAGCUCAAAAUGGGUGGUGAACUCCAUCUAAAGCUAAAUAUUGGCGAGAGACCGAUAGCGAACAAGUACCGUGAGGGAAAGAUGAAAAGCACUUUGGAAAGAGAGUGAAACAGUACGUGAAAUUGUUGAAAGGGAAACGCUUGAAGUCAGUCGUGUCGACCGAGACUCAGCCUCGCCUCGGCUUGGUGUACUUCUCGGCCGACGGGUCAGCAUCAAUUUCGCCCCUUGGAUAAUGGUGAGGGAAAUGUGACACCUUUAUGGUGUGUUAUAGUCUCUUGUCGGAUGCGAGGGUCGGGAUUGAGGAACUCAGCACGCGCCUUGAGCGUCGGGGUCUUCACCCACGAUACGUGCUUAGGAUGUUGGCAUAAUGGCUUUAAACGACCCGUCUUGAAACACGGACCAAGGAGUCUAACAUGCCCGCGAGUGUUCGGGUGGAAAACCCGUGCGCGCAAUGAAAGUGAAAGUUGGGACCUCCGUCGUGGAGGGCACCGAUGCCCGGACCAGACCUUCUGUGACGGCUCUGCGGUAGAGCGUGUAUGUUAGGACCCGAAAGAUGGUGAACUAUGCCUGAAUAGGGUGAAGCCAGAGGAAACUCUGGUGGAGGCUCGUAGCGAUUCUGACGUGCAAAUCGAUCGUCAAAUUUGGGUAUAGGGGCGAAAGACUAAUCGAACCAUCUAGUAGCUGGUCUG